rnacentral:rRNA from 1 species
CCCUUAGAUGUUCUGGGCCGCACGCGCGCUACACUGAUGCAUUCAACGAGCCUAUCCUUGACCGACAGGUCCGGGUAAUCUUUGAAUCUGCAUCGUGACGGGGAUAGAUUAUUGCAAUUAUUAAUCUUCAACGAGGAAUGCCUAGUAGGCGCAAGUCAUCAGCUUGCGUCGAUUACGUCCCUGCCCUUUGUACACACCGCCCGUCGCUCCUACCGAUUGGGUGUGCUAGUGAAAUGUUCGGAUCGGCCGUUUGUCGCGGUUUCCGCGUCAUGUGGCUGAGAAGUUCUCCAAACCGCCCCACUUAGAGGAAGGAGAAGUCGUAACA